GACGAACGCUGGCGGCGUGCUUAACACAUGCAAGUCGAACGGAAAGGCCCUGCUUUUGUGGGUUGCUCGAGUGGCGAACGGGUGAGUAACACGUGAGUAACCUGCCCUUGACUUUGGGAUAACUUCAGGAAACUGGGGCUAAUACCGGAUAGGAGCUCCUGCUGCAUGGUGGGGGUUGGAAAGUUUCGGCGGUUGGGGAUGGACUCGCGGCUUAUCAGCUUGUUGGUGGGGUAGUGGCUUACCAAGGCUUUGACGGGUAGCCGGCCUGAGAGGGUGACCGGCCACAUUGGGACUGAGAUACGGCCCAGACUCCGACGGGAGGCAGCAGUGGGGAAUAUUGCACAAUGGGCGGAAGCCUGAUGCAGCAACGCCGCGUGCGGGAUGACGGACUUCGGGUUGUAAACCGCUUUCGCCUGUGACGAAGCGUGAGUGACGGUAAUGGGUAAAGAAGCACCGGCUAACUACGUGC
rnacentral:rRNA from 1 species